rnacentral:rRNA from 1 species
GGACGAACGCUGGCGGCAUGCCUAACACAUGCAAGUCGAACGGAGUAAUGACUUCGGUUAUUACUUAGUGGCGAACGGGUGAGUAACACGUGAAUAAUCUGCCCUGUACGAUGGGAUAACAGCUGGAAACGGCUGCUAAUACCGUAUAUGACCACGCCGAGGCAUCUCGGAGGGGUGAAAGCGCUUAAGCGGUACAGGAUGAGUUCGCGUCCAAUUAGCUAGUUGGUGAGGUAACGGCCCACCAAGGCGACGAUUGGUAGCCGACCUGAGAGGGUGAUCGGCCACACUGGAACUGAGACACGGUCCAGACUCCUACGGGAGGCAGCAGUGGGGAAUAUUGGGCAAUGGAGGAAACUCUUACCCAGCCAAUGCCGCGUGAGUGAUGAAGGUCUUCGGAUUGUAAAGCUCUUUGAUUGGGGACGAAUAAAUGACGGUACCCAAGGAACAAGCCCCGGCUAACUAUGUGCCAGCCGCUGC